rnacentral:tRNA from 1 species
GGGGCUAUAGCUCAGUUGGCAGAGCGCUUCCAUGGCAUGGAAGAGGUCAAGGGUUCAAUUCCCUUUAGCUCCACCG